rnacentral:rRNA from 2 species
CGAUGAGUGCUAAGUGUUAGAGGGUUUCCGCCCUUUAGUGCUGCAGCAAACGCAUUAAGCACUCCGCCUGGGGAGUACGGCCGCAAGGCUGAAACUCAAAGGAAUUGACGGGGGCCCGCACAAGCGGUGGAGCAUGUGGUUUAAUUCGAAGCAACGCGAAGAACCUUACCAGGUCUUGACAUCUCCUGACAACCCUAGAGAUAGGGCGUUCCCCUUCGGGGGACAGGAUGACAGGUGGUGCAUGGUUGUCGUCAGCUCGUGUCGUGAGAUGUUGGGUUAAGUCCCGCAACGAGCGCAACCCUUGAUCUUAGUUGCCAGCAUUCAGUUGGGCACUCUAAGGUGACUGCCGGUGACAAACCGGAGGAAGGUGGGGAUGACGUCAAAUCAUCAUGCCCCUUAUGACCUGGGCUACACACGUGCUACAAUGGAUGGUACAAAGGGCUGCGAGACCGCGAGGUUAAGCGAAUCCCAUAAAACCAUUCUCAGUUCGGAUUGCAGGCUGCAACUCGCCUGCAUGAAGC